rnacentral:rRNA from 1 species
UUGUGGGGUGCUCGGGUGGCGAACGGGUGAGUAACACGUGAGUAACCUGCCCUUGACUUUGGGAUAACUUCAGGAAACUGGGGCUAAUACCGGAUAGGAGCUCCUGCUGCAUGGUGGGGGUUGGAAAGUUUCGGCGGUUGGGGAUGGACUCGCGGCUUAUCAGCUUGUUGGUGGGGUAGUGGCUUACCAAGGCUUUGACGGGUAGCCGGCCUGAGAGGGUGACCGGCCACAUUGGGACUGAGAUACGGCCCAG